AAACGUUCAUUUUUUCUGGUAAUCUAUUUACGUUAUUUUGUGAUAUACACAAAAAUAAGGAAGAAACACGUAUUGAAAAUGUAUUCGGACGAAGUACGCACGCAAAGAGAAUCUAAGUACAACGUAGAAACUUGGUUUGCAGUUUCGAAUCACAAGAUGGCUACACUUUCUUCUGACCAGAAAAAUUCUUGUUCGAUCGUGCAGCUAUCCUACUCCUAGUUUUCAGAAAAUAGCAAUUUUCUAUACCUUGGAAUAUUUUUUUCUUUACGAAUGAUCAAAGUGCAAACAUUGGAAUUGCGACUUGAUUAUGAGAAUAUCGGUAUCUGUACAAUCACUACACCAUUCUGUAGGUUUUAAGAAAUAUUGAUCAUCGUAGAAUUGAUUGGUACAGUAUUUUGAAAAAUUUAGGGUAACUCAAGGGUUGUAAGGGAAUAGAGUGGUCAGAAAAAUAUAGUUAUUUCUAUGGAGGCUACGAACAAUGCAUCUCUAGCAAACAAAUAGGUGCAAUAAUAGAAGUUCGGAUGUAACGGUGCGAUAGGAAAAUAUUUCUCAACUUUUCGUGUUCGGAAAUAUUACUUUCGCGAAAAGCAUUGGAAUAAUAACCUAAAACUUCAAAAUGUAUUAAAUAUGUACAUCUCCGAAUUAAUUAAACAUUUAUAAUACAUAGUGUAACAUUCAGUCGUCGAUUGAAUAUUAAUAACAAUUACGAUUCAGAAUAAGUAUUCAUUCGAGACAUUAAUCAACAGCCACUACAUUUCAGCGUUCGGUGUCGCCAUCUGUAUCAUCUUUCUGUACUCUCUGUACGCUGGACCAACUUUCAUACUUAGUCGAAUGGAACUAAAUACAUAGCUCUGGAAUAAUGGAGCCUUCUUCAAACGUAUUAUAAAUACAUAAGAUUUUUAACAAAGCCACACUUAAUUAUGCGCACACCCGCGACAAUAUAUUUUUGAGAAGAAGAAUAUUCAAAAAAUGAACAUCGUGUAAUUUAAGUAGUAGUCGAUUAUCGCAGCAGCAGUCGACGUCAUCUAAUUCAUUGUUGCAAACGAGAUCAUUGCGGUUGAUCAACGCGAUAAUGACAAAAUUACUCUCUCCGCUUUACGAGAUAAAUGUCACUUUCAAGGUCCUCAGCCAAUGAUGCCCCUUGAUUAUGCUCCACCCACCCGUUUUUCCUUUUUCUUCAAACGAAUGAUUCAGUGUUCCGUGGUAUCCUCAGUAAGUCUACGCAUUCGCGAAGAAAAUGCACGAUGAGCAUAAACCACAUAUGAUUAGAGGGACGGUGAGUCUAUCUGCGCCCAUUUUCUCCACAUGCUUUCCUUUACCAAAGUAACGAUUAUGACGUCUUAAAAUGCUUUGUCAACCCGUUCACUUCAGAACAUCAUAGAGAUUCUGUAUACUUAUGUAAAAGAUAUUUAAAGAACAAGUUUCAAAACUUGUCGAAAUUAAA